CCACACAUUGUGCGCGCGCCGUCACGAAGUAGGCCUGCGUGAAUAAGACCUGUGCGCCUAGGGCAUGCGCGCAGUAGGCUUGCGUGCAUGGCAUGUAGCAUGCUGGCCGGAGCACUGCCACCUAGGGCAGUGCGUUGCCGCUACCUUGGGUAGAGCACUGUCGAUGGAGGAAGCCCGCCUCUUUCGUUUUUCGUGCCAAGAAUCUUUUUCUCCUCUUUCUUCACCAAAUUUUGCCACUUGGCGCGAAUAAAACGAUUCUAGAAUAUUAUAAAUUGUCUUUCCCCUUCCAUUCCUCUCUACACUUCUAUUUCU
rnacentral:lncRNA from 1 species